AGUGUCUGCCGAACCGUACCGAAC
rnacentral:siRNA from 1 species